GACGUAGGGCGCGAGCGUUUGUCCGGAUUUAUUGGGCGUAAAGAGCUCGUAGGCGGCUUGUUGCGUCGACUGUGAAAGCCCGGGGCUUAACCCCGGGUCUGCAUUCGAUACGGGCAGGCUAGAGUUCGGUAGGGGAGAUCGGAAUUCCUGGUGUAGCGGUGAAAUGCGCAGAUAUCAGGAGGAACACCGGUGGCGAAGGCGGAUCUCUGGGCCGAUACUGACGCUGAGGAGCGAAAGCGUGGGGAGCGAACAGG
rnacentral:rRNA from 1 species